CCUACGGGAGGCAGCAGUGGGGAAUAUUGCACAAUGGGGGAAACCCUGAUGCAGCGACGCCGCGUGAGUGAAGAAGUACUUCUUUAUGUAAAGCUCUAUUAGCAGGGAAGAAAAUUACGGUACCUGAGUCAGAAGCCCCGGCUAACUACGUGCAAGCCGCCGCGGUAAUACGCAGGGGGCAAGAGUUAUCCGGAUUUACUGGGCGUUAAGGGAGCGUAGACGGCAUUGCAAGUCUGGUGUGAAAGGCUGGGGCUCAACCCCCGGACUGCCGUGGAAACCGUGCGGCUGGAGUGCGGGAGAGGUAAGUGGAAUUCGGGGUGUAGCGGUGAAAUGCGUAGAUAUUAGGAAGAACACCGAUGGCGAAGGCAGCUUACUGGAGUGUAACUGACGUUGAGGCUCGAAGGCGUGGGGAGCGAACAGGAUUAGAUACCCUUGUAGUC
rnacentral:rRNA from 1 species